rnacentral:rRNA from 1 species
AUUGAACGCUGGCGGCAGGCCUAACACAUGCAAGUCGAGCGAGCGGCGGACGGGUGAGUAAUGUCUGGGAAACUGCCUGAUGGAGGGGGAUAACUACUGGAAACGGUAGCUAAUACCGCAUACCAUCAGAUGUGCCCAGAUGGGAGUGGCUAUUAGGUGGGGUAACGGCUCACCUAGGCGACGAUCCCUAGCUGGUCUGAGAGGAUGACACGCCACACGGGAACUGGGACACGGUCCAGACUCCUACGGUCGGCAGAAGUGGGAAAUAUUGCACAUUGGGCGGAGGCCUGAUGCAGCCAUGCCGCUUGUGUGAAGAAGGCCUUCGGGUUGUAAAGCACUUUCAGCGGGGAGGCGUUACCCGCAGAAGAAGCACCGGCUAACUCCGUGCCAGCAGCCGCGGUAAUUC